UGGGGAAUAUUGCACAAUGGGCGAAAGCCUGAUGCAGCGACGCCGCGUGCGGGAUGAAGGCCUUCGGGUUGUAAACCGCUUUUAAUUGGGAGCAAGCGAGAGUGAGUGUACCUUUUGAAUAAGCACCGGCUAACUACGUGCCAGCAGCCGCGGUAAUACGUAGGGUGCAAGCGUUAUCCGGAAUUAUUGGGCGUAAAGAGCUCGUAGGCGGUUUGUCACGCCUGGUGUGAAAGUCCAUCGCUUAACGGUGGAUCUGCGCCGGGUACGGGCAGGCUAGAGUGCAGUAGGGGAGAUUGGAAUUCCCGGUGUAACGGUGGAAUGUGUAGAUAUCGGGAAGAACACCAAUGGCGAAGGCAGAUCUCUGGGCUGUUACUGACGCUGAGGAGCGAAAGCAUGGGGAGCGAACAGGAUUAGAUACCCGUGGUAGUCCAUGCCGUAAACGGUGGAUGCUGGAUGUGGGACCCUUCCACGGGUUCCGUGUCGGAGCUAACGCGUUAAGCAUCCCGCC
rnacentral:rRNA from 1 species